AACCCUUGUCCUUAGUUACCAGCACGUUAUGGUGGGCACUCUAAGGAGACUGCCGGUGACAAACCGGAGGAAGGUGGGGAUGACGUCAAGUCAUCAUGGCCCUUACGGCCAGGGCUACACACGUGCUACAAUGGUCGGUACAAAGGGUUGCCAAGCCGCGAGGUGGAGCUAAUCCCAUAAAACCGAUCGUAGUCCGGAUCGCAGUCUGCAACUCGACUGCGUGAAGUCGGAAUCGCUAGUAAUCGUGAAUCAGAAUGUCACGGUGAAUACGUUCCCGGGCCUU
rnacentral:rRNA from 1 species